CCCCUUUUUCAUGUUAGACUCGAUUAUUGAACCGCGAAAUUGGUCUUUGGGAGACGACCUAGGGGUCAUUCCCUAGUUAUACUGCACUUUUAACUGCACAUCUAAUUUGAUUGGGCGGCGACUCCCACCAGUCACUCCCGUCGCCCAGCGACCCUGGACAUUAAACACCUUGUGGGAUGGUCACUCCCGUCGUCUAGCAAGCUUAGACGUUAAACACCUUACUAAAGCAGUUACAAUCUCAACGAUCAAACUCAAGUAUAUCUUACAGAUUACUAAAGCAAUCACAAACCUCUAAAGCAGUUACAUGCUCAUCCAGUUUACAUCAAGUGCAACUAGUUACUUCAACAUCUCUACCUACACAAGGCCAGGACCCAACGCGUCUUGAUGCCUUAUGGACAAC
rnacentral:lncRNA from 1 species